UAGGGAAUAUUGGUAAUCUGGGAAACCGGGAACCAGCAACGCCGCGUGCGCGAUGAAGGCCUUCGGGUUGUAAAGCGCUUUUUGGAAGGAUUAGGAAGGAAUGUACUUCCAGAAUAAGUCUCGGCUAACUACGUGCCAGCAGCCGCGGUAACACGUAGGAGGCAAACGUUAUCCGGAUUUACUGGGCGUAAAGCGCGUGUAGGCGGUUUGAUAAGUUGGAUGUGAAAGCUCCCGGCUCAACUGGGAGAGGUCGUUCAAAACUAUCAGACUUGAGAGUGGUAGAGGGAGGUGGAAUUCCGCGUGUAGUGGUGAAAUGCGUAGAUAUCCGGAGGAACACCAGUGGCGAAAGCGGCCUCCUGGCCCAUUUCUGACGCUCAGACACGAAAGCUAAGGUAGCAAACG
rnacentral:rRNA from 1 species